CAGGGUUCAGGCCUGGGUCAGGACCACUGGUCUCAGGUCAGGACCACUGAUCUCAGGUCAGGGUUCAGGUCUGGGUCAGGACCACUGAUCUCAGGUCAGGGUUCAGGCCUGGGUCAGGACCACUGGUCUCAGGUCAGGACCACUGAUCUCAGGUCAGGGUUCAGGUCUGGGUCAGGACCACUGGUCUCAGGUCAGGGAUGGGACCUCUGACCUCAGGACAAGGUUCAGGUCUGGGAUGGGACCACUGGUCUCAGGUCAGGGUUCAGGUCUGGGUCAGGACCACUGGUCUCAGGCCAGGGAUGGGACCACUGACCUCAGGUCAGGGUUCAGGUCAGGGAUGGGACCACUGGUCUCAGGACAGGGUUCAGGUCAGAACUUAUUCAAAGCCUUUACCACAGGUAUCAGUCAUUACAUCAUUAUAUCAUUCCUUUACCACAGGUAUCAGUCAUUACAUCAUUCCUUUACCACAG